CUGUGAGAUUACAUAUGCAUAUAGUGUUAAUGCUAUAAGAGUGUAGUAUCUACUCACAAAGUUAUCAGGUUAAAUAGUUUUAUCAACUAAUAAAAAUGUUAUUGCAUAAUUAAUGUUAUACUGUAGCCCUGCCACGAUAUCCAGCGAAAGUUAUUUUGCUGAGUAUCGGUAGUAAAAGUUAAGAUUAAGAUAUGAUGUUGAGAAUUUUUUUGAGUCGUGCAACAACAUUAACAGCAAACUAUAAUACAAAUCUAUCUUUUUAAAAGUU
rnacentral:misc_RNA from 1 species